rnacentral:rRNA from 1 species
UACAGAGGUCUCAAGCGUUGUUCGGAUUCAUUGGGCGUAAAGGGCUCGUAGGCGGUUUGUCGCGUCGGGUGUGAAAUCCACUGGCUUAACUGGUGGCUUGCUUUCGAUACGGGCAGACUGGAGGUAUGCAGGGGAGAACGGAAUUCCUGGUGUAGCGGUGAAAUGCGCAGAUAUCAGGAGGAACACCGGUGGCGAAGGCGGUUCUCUGGGCAUGUCCUGACGCUGAGGAGCGAAAGUGUGGGGAGCGAACAGG